CGCCCUUCCUACGGGAGGCAGCAGUGGGGAAUUUUGGACAAUGGGCGCAAGCCUGAUCCAGCAAUGCCGCGUGAGUGAAGAAGGCCUUCGGGUUGUAAAGCUCUUUCAGUCGAGAAGAAAAGGCUGCAGUGAAUAACUGUAGUUAUGNCGNAUCNC
rnacentral:rRNA from 1 species